rnacentral:misc_RNA from 1 species
UGUGACAACUCCUCUGGACUG